rnacentral:rRNA from 1 species
AAAGCUCCCUUCGGGGGGCAAGUAGAGUGGCGCACGGGUGAGUAACACGUAGGUAAUCUACCUUUGGAUUGGGAAUAACAACCGGAAACGGUUGCUAAUACCGAAUAAUGCAGCGGCACCUAAUGGUGACAGUUGUUAAAGCGGGGGAUCACAAGACCUCGCGUCUAAAGAGGAGCCUGCGGCAGAUUAGCUAGUUGGUAAGGUAACGGCUUACCAAGGCGAUGAUCUGUAGCCGGCCUGAGAGGGCGGUCGGCCACACUGACACUGACAUACGGGUCAGACUCCUACGGGAGGCAGCAGUCGGGAAUUUUGGGCAAUGGGCGAAAGCCUGACCCAGCAACGCCGCGUGAAGGAUGAAAUCCCUCGGGAUGUAAACUUCGCAAGAACGGGAAGAAUAAGUGAGAGUUAAUAUCUUUCACGAUGACGGUACUGUUUGUAAGCUCCGGCUAACUCCGUGCCAGCAGCCGCGGUAAUACGGGGGGAGCAAGCGUUGUUCGGAUUUACUGGGCGUAAAGGGCGCGUAGGCGGCCACCGCAAGUCGACUGUGAAAUCUCCGGGCUUAACCCGGAAAGGUCAGCCGAUACUGCGGGGCUAGAGUGCAGAAGGGGCAACUGGAAUUCUCGGUGUAGCGGUGAAAUGCGUAGAUAUCGAGAGGAACACCUGCGGCGAAGGCGGGUUGCUGGGCUGACACUGACGCUGAGGCGCGAAAGCUAGGGGAGCGAACGGGAUUAGAUACCCCGGUAGUCCUAGCCUUAAACGAUGAAUGCUUGGUGUCUGGGGUUUUAUAGU